rnacentral:rRNA from 1 species
GAUGAACGCUGGCGGCGUGCCUAAUACAUGCAAGUCGAGCGAAUGGAUUAAGAGCUUGCUCUUAUGAAGUUAGCGGCGGACGGGUGAGUAACACGUGGGCAACCUGCCCAUAAGACUGGGAUAACUCCGGGAAACCGGGGCUAAUACCGGAUAACAUUUUGAACCGCAUGGUUCGAAAUUGAAAGGCGGCUUCGGCUGUCACUUAUGGAUGGACCCGCGUCGCAUUAGCUAGUUGGUGAGGUAACGGCUCACCAAGGCAACGAUGCGUAGCCGACCGGAGAGGGGGAUCGGCCACCAGGGGACUGAGACCCGGCCCAGACGCCUACGGGAGGCAGCAGUAGGGAAUCUUCCGCAAGGGACGAAAGUCUGACGGAGCAACGCCGCGUGAGUGAUGAAGGCUUUCGGGUCGUAAAACUCUGUUGUUAGGGAAGAACAAGUGCUAGUUGAAUAAGCUGGCACCUUGACGGUACCUAACCAGAAAGCCACGGCUAACUACGUGCCAGCAGCCGCAGUAA